UGGAAAGUUUUUUCGGUUGGGGAUGGGCUCGCGGCCUAUCAGUUUGUUGGUGAGGUAAUGGCUCACCAAGACGACGACGGGUAGCCGGCCUGAGAGGGCGACCGGCCACACUGGGACUGAGACACGGCCCAGACUCCUACGGGAGGCAGCAGUGGGGAAUAUUGCACAAUGGGGGAAACCCUGAUGCAGCGACGCAGCGUGCGGGAUGACGGCCUUCGGGUUGUAAACCGCUUUCAGCAGGGAAGAAGCCUUUCGGGGUGACGGUACCUGCAGAAGAAGUACCGGCUAACUACGUGCCAGCAGCCGCGGUAAUACGUAGGGUACAAGCGUUGUCCGGAAUUAUUGGGCGUAAAGAGCUCGUAGGUGGUUGGUCACGUCUGCUGUGGAAACGCAACGCUUAACGUUGCGCGUGCAGUGGGUACGGGCUGACUAGAGUGCAGUAGGGGAGUCUGGAAUUCCUGGUGUAGCGGUGAAAUGCGCAGAUAUCAGGAGGAACACCGGUGGCGAAGGCGGGACUCUGGGCUGUAACUGACACUGAGGAGCGAAAGCAUGGGGAGCGAACAGGAUUAGAUACCCUGGUAGUCCAUGCCGUAAACGUUGGGCACUAGGUGUGGGGGACAUUCCACGUUCUCCGCGCCGUAGCUAACGCAUUAAGUGCCCCGCCUGGGGAGUACGGUCGCAAGGCUAAAACUCAAAGGAAUUGACGGGGGCCCGCACAAGCGGCGGAGCAUGCGGAUUAAUUCGAUGCAACGCGAAGAACCUUACCAAGGCUUGACAUACACCAGACCGUUCUGGAAACAGUUCCUCCCCUUUGGGGUUGGUGUACAGGUGGUGCAUGGUUGUCGUCAGCUCGUGUCGUGAGAUGUUGGGUUAAGUCCCGCAACGAGCGCAACCCUCGUUCUAUGUUGCCAGCACGUAAUGGUGGGAACUCAUAGGAGACUGCCGGGGUCAACUCGGAGGAAGGUGGGGAUGACGUCAAAUCAUCAUGCCCUUUAUGUCUUGGGCUUCACGCAUGCUACAAUGGCUGGUACAGAGAGAUGCGAGACCGCGAGGUUUUAGCGAAUCCCUUAAAGCCAGUCUCAGUUCGGAUCGUAGUCUGCAAUUCGACUACGUGAAGUCGGAGUCGCUAGUAAUCGCAGAUCAGCAACGCUGCGGUGAAUACGUUCCCGGGCCUUGUACACACCGCCCGUCAAGUCACGAAAGUCGGUAACACCCGAAGCC
rnacentral:rRNA from 1 species